GAUGAACGCUAGCUACAGGCUUAACACAUGCAAGUCGAGGGGCAGCGGUAUCGAAAGCUUGCUUUCGGUAGCCGGCGACCGGCGCACGGGUGAGUAACGCGUAUCGAACCUGCCUCAUACUCGGGAAUAGCCUUGCGAAAGUAAGAUUAAUGCCCGGUGUUUUCAGAGUCCCGCAUGAGGCUUUGAACAAAGAUUUAUCGGUAUGAGAUGGCGAUGCGUCCCAUUAGCUUGUUGGCGGGGUGACGGCCCACCAAGGCAUCGAUGGGUAGGGGUUCUGAGAGGAAGGUCCCCCACAUUGGAACUGAGACACGGUCCAAACUCCUACGGGAGGCAGCAGUGAGGAAUAUUGGUCAAUGGGCGGAAGCCUGAACCAGCCAAGUAGCGUGCAGGAAGACGGCCCUCCGGGUUGUAAACUGCUUUUAGUUGGGAAUAAAACGGGGCUCGUGAGCCCCCUUGCAUGUACCAUCAGAAAAAGGACCGGCUAAUUCCGUG
rnacentral:rRNA from 1 species